rnacentral:tRNA from 1 species
UCUAAGAGUGGCAGAAAAGUGUCAUGAGCUUAAAAUUCAUUUAUAAAUUUAAAUUUCCUUAGAA